AUUUCCCUUCCUGUUAUGCAUAUGUUCUAACAAUAUUCUCUACCUUCUGCUUACUGACAAGAACAGCUACUAAACAGAUGAUUUAAAGUGAUUACUUAAAAGUAAAAGGACAGGAUAGAAGAAUAAAGACUGCUUUCGAGAAAAUGAUUGUCUUGGUCACUUUUAGUACUAUGAAGAGAUGUCAUUACUAAGAAUCACCUGGAUGCUUCUAAAGAGGAUGUCUACCAGACCCCAUGCCGCACUAGUUAGCUCAGAAGUGGGAACCCUUCAUAAGAUGUAAGCUCGAAGCUACUAUACCAGCACUAUGCUUGCCUACUUGCUGCCACAUUCCUUGUCAUGAUAACCAUGGACUAAGCCUCUGAAACUCAUCCAGGCACUGAGCACUGGAAGCCCAGCGAGGACAACUCAGACUCAGGAGGCAGAGGACUCUGUAGGAGAGGUGCUCCAGGGCCUGGGUGCCACCAGCCAGCUCCGCUAGAAGAAUGCUGUGAGAACAGGCUGGCACUGAGCUGGAGUGGCCAUCGUCACAAGGGAACAAAACAGAGCUCAGAGUCAUGAGCCUGGGGUUCCACCAGCCAGUUUUGGUCACCUUCAGGACAGCCCUCAGGACUGUCCAUGUGGAGCAC
ensembl:processed_transcript RIKEN cDNA E130307A14 gene